AGAAUGAUGGCCGAAUUACAGGUGGAACAUUGUAAAUGUUUUGAUAGUAGAUACUUCAUUCUA
rnacentral:tRNA from 1 species